rnacentral:rRNA from 1 species
AACGAACGCUGGCGGCAUGCCUAACACAUGCAAGUCGAACGAGACCUUCGUGUCUAGUUGCGCACGGGUGCGUAACGCGUGGGAAUCUGCCCUUGGGUUCGGAAUAACAGUUGGAAACGACUGCUAAUACCGGAUGAUGACGUAAGUCAAAAGAUUUAUCGACCAAGGAUGAGCCCGCGUAGGAUUAGCUAGUUGGUGAGGUAAAGGCUCACCAAGGCGACGAUACUUAGCUGGUCUGAGAGGAUGAUCAGCCACACUGGGACUGAGACACGGCCCAGACUCCUACGGGAGGCAGCAGUGGGGAAUAUUGGACAAUGGGCGAAAGCCUGAUCCAGCAAGGCCGCGUGAGUGAUGAAGGCCUUAGAGUUGUAAAGCUCUUUUACCCGGGAUGAUAAUGACGGUACCGGGAGAAUAAGCUCCGGCUAACUCCGUG